rnacentral:rRNA from 1 species
AACGUAGGAGGCGAGCGUUAUCCGGAUUUACUGGGCGUAAAGCGCACGCAGGCGGCUUCGUUAGUCGGAUGUGAAAGCUCCUGGCUUAACUGGGAGAGGCCAUUCGAUACUGCGGGGCUUGAGGUUGGGAGAGGGGUGUGGAAUUCCCGGUGUAGUGGUGGAAUGCGUAGAUAUCGGGAGGAACACCAGUGGCGAAGGCGGCUCACUGGCCCGAUACUGACGCUGAGGUGCGAAAGCGUGGGGAGCAAACAGG